AAAUGAAUAGACGGGGGCCCGCACAAGCGGAGGAGCAUGUGGUUUAAUUCGAUGAUACGCGAGGAACCUUACCUGGGCUCGAACGGUUAAAGACUUAAUGUGAAAGCAUUAUUCUAUUUAUAGCUUUAAUCGAGGUGCUGCAUGGUUGUCGUCAGCUCGUGCCGUGAGGUGUUAGGUUAAGUCCUGCAACGAGCGCAACCCUUACUUUUAGUUGCCAGCAUGUCAUGAUGGGGACUCUAAAAGAACUGCCGGCGCAAGCCGUGAGGAAGGUGGGGAUGACGUCAAAUCAGCACGGCCCUUAUGUCCAGGGCUACACACGUGCUACAAUGGUCGACACAGAGGGCAGCUACUUGGCAACAAGAUGCGAAUCUCUAAAUUCGAUCUCAGUUCGGAUCGAAGUCUGCAACUCGACUUCGUGAAGUUGGAUUCGCUAGUAAUCGCACAUCAGCCAUGGUGCGGUGAAUACGUUCCCGGGCCUUGUACACACCGCCCGU
rnacentral:rRNA from 1 species